ensembl:lncRNA
ACAUUUAAUAGGGUUAAUAGGUUUAGAAGUGUAAUCUGGUGAUAUAAUUUGAUAAAUGAUAGGACAUUAUUAAUUGAUUCAUGCAAACAUAUUGCGAGAGCAUAGUGUCAAAAAUCAACUUUGCCAUAAAAAGACUGAAUUAAUAGUUGUUGUUUUUUUUUUUUUUUUUUUUUUUUUUUUUUUUUUUUAUUAAAAAAAUUCUUUCCAAGUACCCAGUGAAACCUGCUAAAGUACCCUCUGGUGUAAACAUACCCCUGGUUUGGAAUCAACGAUGUGAUGGACAAACAAGCACAAACUUGGCAAUAUCUGCAUCAAAUCUCCCAGCUGGUUACACAAAGCAGAUGGCUGCAGUGGCCCGAGUCAUCACAGCACUGACGUAUGGACAGUCUAAUCGAAUUAUUACAGUUCCUAGUUCAUCACAGAACAGAGCCUGAUGUUUACUUCUCAUAUAUUUCUUAGACAACUAUACAUAUUGCAUUAAUGUUGCUAUUGGGUUUGGGAUAUGUGGGUGUUUAUUUUUCACUGCCUGCUUGUUUAUUUGUUGUUGUGUAAACUGUUUUUUUAUAUACUUCCAAUAUUUUGGCUUGUUUUGUUGCAUUACUGAUAGCUUGUGCAUUAUUUUUCAUCCACUGUAACAUUCAAAUUGUCAUUGAUGAUGUUAAAUGCCUUGCUGGAGAAAGUCAGUUUCUGUAAAUGCCCAAACUUUACUUUUCUGACCUAUUUUGGUUAUUUCAAAUAGCCUUUGGAACAUAUCCUGCAAUACUGCAAGGAUAACAAACAGUUAUUGAACACAAGUUGAUCUAAGUUUGGGGCAUGUUGUCACAAUAUAUAGUUCAGGUUAUCACAAUAGAACCUGCAAUUAAUGAAACAGCAGAAAUGUAAAAGGGAAACUGUCAAUAAAUAUAAAUAAACAAUUUAAAUUUCUAUUUUA